CCUGCCCCUAGAGGAUUUGCCGAUGUGGCUGCUGUGCCACAUUGUGUCAGUAGGUGGCAGAGAGGAGUUGGACUAUUUCUAUUCUCAAAGGAACAUCUGACCUCUGAACAUCUUGAAGGAUCAGUAGUCUAAGAUU